rnacentral:rRNA from 1 species
GACGGGGGGGGCAAGUGUUCUUCGGAAUGACUGGGCGUCAAGGGCACGUAGGCGGUGAAUCGGGUUGAAAGUGAAAGUCGCCAAAAAGUGGCGGAAUGCUCUCGAAACCAAUUCACUUGAGUGGGACAGAGGAGAGUGGAAUUUCGUGUGUAGGGGUGAAAUGCGCAGAUAUCAGGAGGAACACCCGUGGCGAAAGCGGCUCUCUGGGACGGUACUGACGCUGAGACGCGAAAGCGUGGGGAGCAAACAGG